rnacentral:rRNA from 1 species
CCAGACUCCUACGGGAGGCAGCAGUGGGGGAUAUUGCACAAUGGGGGAAACCCUGAUGCAGCAACGCCGCGUGAGUGAAGAAGUCAUUCGUGAUGUAAAGCUCUAUCAGCAGGGAAGAAAAUGACGGUACCUGACUAAGAAGCCCCGGCUAACUACGUGCCAGCAGCCGCGGUAAUACGUAGGGGGCAAGCGUUAUCCGGAUUUACUGGGUGUAAAGGGAGCGUAGACGGUAGAGCAAGUCUGAAGUGAAAGCCCGCGGCUCAACUGCGGGACUGCUUUGGAAACUGUUCAACUGGAGUGCCGGAGAGGUAAGCGGAAUUCCUAGUGUAGCGGUGAAAUGCGUAGAUAUUAGGAGGAACACCAGUGGCGAAGGCGGCUUACUGGACAGUAACUGACGUUGAGGCUCGAAAGCGUGGGGAGCAAACAGGAUUAGAUACCCCAGUAC